AGUGAACGCUGGCGGUAGGCCUAACACAUGCAAGUCGAACGGCAGCACAGUAAGAGCUUGCUCUUACGGGUGGCGAGUGGCGGACGGGUGAGGAAUACAUCGGAAUCUACUUUUUCGUGGGGGAUAACGUAGGGAAACUUACGCUAAUACCGCAUACGACCUACGGGUGAAAGCAGGGGCUCUUCGGACCUUGCGCGAUUGAAUGAGCCGAUGUCGGAUUAGCUAGUUGGCGGGGUAAAGGCCCACCAAGGCGACGAUCCGUAGCUGGUCUGAGAGGAUGAUCAGCCACACUGGAACUGAGACACGGUCCAGACUCCUACGGGAGGCAGCAGUGGGGAAUAUUGGACAAUGGGCGCAAGCCUGAUCCAGCCAUACCGCGUGGGUGAAGAAGGCCUUCGGGUUGUAAAGCCCUUUUGUUGGGAAAGAAAAGCAGCAGGUUAAUACCCCGCUGUUCUGACGGUACCCAAAGAAGAAGCACCGGCUAACUUCGUG
rnacentral:rRNA from 1 species